UAUCGGAGAAUAAUGUUCUCUCUCCCUGAUCACCUAACUUCUACUGACGAGGCUAGGAAGUUGCAGAAGC
rnacentral:lncRNA from 1 species